AGCCACAAAUAUGAUUCCCAUUCCGAAAUUCAUUCAUAUUUUCGCAAACAGAAAAGAUACCCAUCUUAGAAUGCUUCUUAUCAAGGCUUAAGGUACCUUUGCAAUUCACUAUGACAUUUUCACAAGCAUUUUCAAUAUCUAACUUCUCCAAUGACAAGAAACACAUUGUCUUCUCUGCCUUUUCCUAAUGUCAAACUCACUCUCCUUAAGUCUUAUAUGAUUGCAGUAUCUCAAAUCCAAUGCACUAUCACCAAGAUUCCAGUGCCUUUUUUCACAUUUUAGUUCUUCAUAAAUUAUCAUAUCUUCUUCUUUUAAUUGAAACAUGCUCAACAAAAACACUUUUUUUAUUUUCAAGAAGUUUAACAUGUCUAGCGUCAAGAAAGAUACCUUCCUUAUUAAAGACUUCAACUUCAACGGAGAGAUUGAUAUCCCUGUCACUUUGAAUUUCCAAUUGAAUUGUUGGAGUUGGAUUGAUUGAAUGGUCAUAGUGAAUAGAGACCCAUUUCUCUCAACCAAUUUUUGUUUAAGAUUGUGCCCACUUCUCUCCUUGAAAUUAGCUAUAUAACCAUCUUGAAUUGGUAAUCUUAAUUCACGAUCCUCACUCCAAAAUACCUAAAAAAUGUGGGCUUUCAAUUUUGAAGCUCAAAACAACUCCAAAAUCUGAAUCAUUUUCUAUGACAGCUCCAUUUUGUUUCGAUCCAUCUGUUGUACAAGCUCACUUCUUUCCUCCCGAUUCCUUACCCUAGAUGCAUGAAGUUCUUGGCUGGGACCUCCCAAUCUUGUUCAAGUAAUUGCAUGUGAUUCUCCAGGCCUAGUGACACCCUAGGGUUUUCCAUCGAUUGGUUUUUCCUUGCCAAAUUCAAUUUUGCCACAGUUGGGUCCUCUAAAUCACUGAGCUCUGAUACCAAGUUAUUAGGGCCAUAGCUCAUAAGACCUAACACUCUGUCUAGAUUGACAGAAGAAUGUUAAAGAAAAGAAGAAGAUUGGAAGAGAGAAGG
rnacentral:misc_RNA from 1 species